AUUCCUUCUUUGUUCUUAUUGGUUGCACCUUUAUCUCUUCUUUGACUUUCUCAAAGAAAGAAGACUCAAGAAACUCUUUUGCUCCCAUUUUCCCACGGAUCAAUGCAAAUCAGAAAUUUGCACCUCACUUUUCUCUCUUUUGUCUUAAGGAAAGUGCUAGGAAGCUCCCUUGAGUCUUUCUCUUGAGUCCAAGGGUUCACACACCAAAAGAAAGAAAAUUCUCUCAACUCUUCUCUCCCUUUCAUUCCCACGGGUCCUAAACCAAAAGAAAGAAAAUUCUCUCAAGCUCUCCACCUCUCAUAAUUUUGGGUCCAGCCACUAGGAAAUGGGGAAAUUCUUCCAUGCAAGAGUGAUUCUAUUUCUCCUUGGAAUCAGAAAUUUGGUGUUACCAGUAUCCAAGUUUAAGCUCCGUCGACUGUAGGCUCUCGGUUCCUCUGCUUUCAGUUAACAGGUUUUAUUUUGGAGCAGAGGGAGCCUUAGUCGAGUUUUG